rnacentral:rRNA from 1 species
UGAGGAACAUGACCUUCGGCGGGGGAUAGCCGGCCCAACGGCCGGGUAAUACCGCGUACGACCACUUUGGGACAUCCCUAGGUGGUGAAAGCAGCAAUGCGCCGAUGGAGUGCCUCGCGGCCUAUCAGCUAGUUGGUGAGGUAACGGCUCACCAAGGCGACGACGGGUANCUGGUCUGAGAGGACGACCAGCCACACUGGAACUGAGAUACGGUCCAGACUCCCGUACGGGGAGGNAGCG